rnacentral:rRNA from 1 species
UACAGAGGUCUCAAGCGUUGUUCGGAAUUACUGGGCGUAAAGGGCUCGUAGGCGGCCAACUAAGUCAGACGUGAAAUCCCUCGGCUUAACCGGGGAACUGCGUCUGAUACUGGAUGGCUUGAGAUUGGGAGAGGGAUGCGGAAUUCCAAGUGUAGCGGUGAAAUGCGUAGAUAUCUGGAGGAACACCGGUGGCGAGGGCGGCAUCCUGGACCAACACUGACGCUGAAUAGCGAAAGCCAGGGGAGCAAACGGG